GGGGGGGCAAGGGGAGUCCCAAUAACAGCAAAACAGCAAAUUGAUUUGGCUCAUAACAGAUAACAAGGAAUUAAAAUGGACAAAAACAGAUAACAGUAAAUGAAAUAUUAAAAUAAUUUGGUCUUUGACAAAUCAGUAUUUCUUAUUACGGAUAUAAUCCUUUGUAAUGCAUUCCAUUUUUUAUGACUAUGUUUUUAGUAUUAAUUUAUGUAUCUUUUUUUUUUUUU
rnacentral:lncRNA from 1 species